AUGCAGCAGGGAAGGCCUCUUGCAUACUAUAGUUCCUCCUUGUGUCCAAGAAACCAAGCUCUCUCCACUUACGAAAAGGAAGCCUUGGCCAUACUGGAAGCCCUUAAAAGAUGGAGGCACUAUUUGCUUGGAAAUGAGCUUCUAAUUAAAACUGAUCAGCAAUCCCUCAAAUUUAUUACUGAUCAGAAAAUAACUGAAGGUGUGCAUCAUAAAUUGAUGAUGAAAUUACUGGAAUUCAACUUUAAAAUUCAGUACAAGAAGGGCAUUACAAACAAGGUUGCUGAUGCAUUGUCAAGAAUUCUUCCCUCCUGCAGAGCAAUAUCCAUAGUCACUCCUGUAUGGGCACAAGAACUGAUAGAAGGAUAUCACAAAGACCCAAUUUCUAAAGGAAUAUUGGAAAAAUUGCUGUUACACCCUGAAAGCUGCCUGCCUGAUUACACCAUCACAUCUGGUAUCAUCAGAUACAAAGGAAGAAUAUUGGUUGGAAAUUUUUCUAACUUAAGAAACAGAUUGAUCACUGCUCUGCACAGUUCUCCAAUUGGGGGCCACUCUGGAACAAGGGCAACUUAUCAUAGAAUUAAGAAUAUUUUCUACUGGCCUGGUAUGAAAGCAGCUGUGGAAACAUUCAUUGCAGCUUGCCCCAUUUGUCAAAGAGCCAAGCAUGAAAAUUGUUUGCAGCAUGGGUUGUUAGACCCCUUACCCAUAGCUGACAUGGCAUGGCAGCACAUCACCAUGGAUUUCAUAGAAGGGCUGCCAAAUUCUGAAGGGAAGGAGGUAAUACUGGUGGUAGUGGAUAGAUUCACUAAGUAUGCACAUUUCAUACCAUUACCACACCCUUAUAAUGUGAUGAGUGUAGCUCAAGCAUUUAUGGAUAAUAUCAUUAGAUUGCAUGGACCUCCCAAGCUCAUUAUAUCAGACAGGGACAGGAUCUUCACUAGCAAGUUAUGGAAAGACAUCUUUGCUGCUAUGAAAAGUGAGUUGAGAUACAGUACUUCCUACCAUCCACAAACAGAUGGGCAAACAGAGAGAGUUAACCAAUGUGUGGAAACAUACCUCAGAUGUAUGACCACCACUCAGCCCAAGAAAUGGUGUUCCUGGUUACCUUUAGCCGAGUUUUGGUACAACACUACCUAUCACACUGCUUUGAAAAUGUCCCCUUUCCAGGCCUUGUAUGGUUUUCCUCCACCCAUGAUAUCUGAACUAGCCAUUCCUGGCCCUGAAGACGAGGAGGCUCAGAAUUUCUUGGCUGCUAAACAGGAUAUGUUGGAACAAUUAAAAGAAAACUUGCAACAAGCUCAGAACAGGAUGAAGAAGUAUGCUGACUUAAAGAGGAGUGAAAGAGUUUUUGAAGUGGGAGAUAUGGUGUAUUUAAAGAUGGCACCAUACAGAUUAGCAGCUUUUGGAUUUAGAGGAGCACUGAAACUACAAAACAAGUACUAUGGCCCUUUUCUGAUCACGCAAAAGAUUGGCAAGUUAGCUUACAAAUUGCAAUUUCCUGCACAUGUGCAGAUUCAUCCAGUUUUCCAUGUCAGUCAGUUGAAAAAGCACAUUGGUGCUAAAUCCAUUCCCAGUCCAAACCUACCUAUGGUAGCAACUGAUGGUACAAUCAAAACGGGACCUGCAGCAGUGCUUCAAGUCAGACAAAUACCGAGGCACAAUCUGCCGGUUGUUCAGUGGUUCAUUCAAUGGGAAAAUCUCUCUCCAGAAGAGGCAACAUGGGAGGAUGCGGAUUUCAUCAAGUAUACAUUUCCAGCCUUUUUCCGAGCAGUCACUGAAGAGUGGCGUGCAAACCAACAAGCAUCGUGA
rnacentral:rRNA from 1 species